rnacentral:misc_RNA from 1 species
AAGUCGUAACAAGGUUUCCGUAGGUGAACCUGCGGAAGGAUCAUUAUUGAAUACUCUUGAUGAGUUGUAGCUGGCUCUCCGGGGCAUGUGCACGCUUGUCUUGAUUUUAUUCAUCCACCUGUGCACCUUUUGUAGUCUUGGGGGUUGAAAGCAGUCGACUAUCGGAUGGCUAUGGCUUUUCCGGAUGUGAGAAAUGCUGAGUGCAUAGACGCAUACAGCUCUUCUCAAAUGACUUGCAUACCCUUGAGUACUAUGUAUUCAUAUACCACGUCGUAUGUUGUAGAAUGUGAUCAAUGGGUCUAUGUACCUAUAAUAAUCAUAUACAACUUUCAGCAACGGAUCUCUUGGCUCUC